rnacentral:lncRNA from 1 species
UCAAGCAAGUGAAGUCUUAAGGUGCGGUAUCCUUGAGCAACUGUAACGGUUUGUUAAGCACCCGUAUGCUUGACGAAGAUAGUGGAAUCUCGAGAGAGUCUCUCGGGGACUGGACUAGCCACGGGUUAUGGUGAACCAGGAGAAAAUACGGUGUGUUCUUUCUUGAUUAUUUCAAUUACCGUAUUUACUUAUUCCUGCAAUUUUAAAUUCCGCAAUAUUUCAAUAUUCUCGUGCCUCACUAUUCACCCCCC